GAUGAACGCUGGCGGCGUGCUUAACACAUGCAAGUCGAGCGAACCGAAUUGAAGGAAGCCUUCGGGUGAAAUUUGAGGAGGUUAGCGGCGGACGGGUGAGUAACGCGUGGGUAACCUACCCUGUACAGGGGGAUAACAUGGCGAAAGGCAUGCUAAUACCCCAUGGAGCUAAAAUAUCGCAUGAUAUAGUGGUGAAAGGGAUAACCGGUACAGGAUGGACCCGCGUCUGAUUAGCUAGUUGGUAGGGUAAAGGCCUACCAAGGCGACGAUCAGUAGCCGACCUGAGAGGGUGAACGGCCACACUGGAACUGAGACACGGUCCAGACUCCUACGGGAGGCAGCAGUGGGGAAUAUUGCACAAUGGGCGAAAGCCUGAUGCAGCAACGCCGCGUGAGCGAAGAAGGCCUUCGGGUCGUAAAGCUCUGUCCUAAGGGAAGAAGAAUGACGGUACCUUAGGAGGAAGCCCCGGCUAACUACGUG
rnacentral:rRNA from 1 species